rnacentral:misc_RNA from 1 species
UUUCCGUAGGUGAACCUGCGGAAGGAUCAUUAAUGAGUUGUCAUGGGGUUCGAUGCUGGCAGCCAGUUUAUGGAUGCAUGUGCUUGCACCAACAAUCAUCUUCUUCCAAACACCUGUGCACAUUUUUGAGGGAGUCUUGAGUUGGUUGCCGCUCUUGGGUGAUUUUCUCACAUUCCCUGAAAUCAUUAUACGCUAUUAACCAUGUUGAACGUGCUCUGUGACGCAAGGCCAUUAAUUUAAUACAACUUUUAACAACGGAUCUCUUGGCUCUC